GCGGCCGUAGUCUAGCCUGGUUAGGACGUCGGCCUUCCAAGCCGUUAACCCGGGUCCAAAUCCCGGCGGCCGCACCA
rnacentral:tRNA from 1 species